rnacentral:misc_RNA from 1 species
UCUCCGUUGUUGAACCAGCGGAGGGAUCAUUACCGAGUUUACAACUCCCAAACCCCUGUGAACUUAUACCUUUACUGUUGCUUCGGCGGGUCAUUGCCCCGGGGAAACAGGCGGCCGUCAGGUCCCUGCCCACCCGGAAACAGGCGCCCGCCUGGUGACUCAAACUAUUCUGUAUUUUUUUGUUUACUGUAUACUGUCUGAGUAAAAAUUCAUAAUGAAUCAAAACUUUCAACAACGGAUCUCUUGGUUCUG